UCCACCCGCGACCUGCACCCAGGCAGCACCGCGGAGCGCAAGCUCCCCCCCGCCGCUCCCCACCGGGCCCAAGGCAGCGAGAGGCGGAGUCCUUGAGCCUGGGCUGUGGGCUCCAGGUGGGCUCUGGGGAGAGGAUGAAGCAGGCCCUGGUGGACGAUACUGAGGACGUGUCCCUGGACUUUGGCAACGAAGAGGAGCUGGCCUUUCGGAAAGCCAAGAUUAGGCACCCGUUGGCCACCUUUUUCCAUCUGUUUUUCCGAGUGAGCGCCAUCGUCACCUAUGUGUGCUGUGACUGGUUCAGCAGAAGCUUUGUGGGCUGCUUUGUCACUGUGCUUCUCCUCCUGUCCUUUGACUUCUGGUCUGUGAAGAACGUGACCGGGAGACUGCUGGUGGGCCUCCGCUGGUGGAACCACAUAGACGAAGACGGGAAGGGCCGCUGGAUUUUUGAGGCCAGAAAGGCAUCCCCGCAGCACAGUGUGGCCACAGAAGCGGAGGCGCGCAUCUUCUGGCUUGGCCUCGUCAUCUGCCCGCUGAUUUGGACCGUGUUCUUCUUCAGCACCUUGUUCUCCUUGAAGCUCGAGUGGCUGGCCCUUGUGAUAGCUGGGAUUUCUCUCCAAGCUGCUAACCUCUAUGGCUACAUCCUUUGUAAGAUGGGAGGUGAGAGGGACAUCGGCAAAAUCACAGCCAGUUUUCUGUCCCAGAUGGUGUUCCAGACGGCCAGCCCAAGGGACUUCCAGAAGCCUGGCCUCAAGGGGCUGGAGAUUCACAAGCAUUAGGAGCUGAUGAGGUGCUCUUCUUUUGGCUGAUGGAGACCACAGAACUCCUGGAUUUCUGGAACACGAGACACAGAAGCAGUGACGAUGAGGCAGUGCCUCCGGCAGCCGUGCCUGUGCUGGUGAGGGCUGAACCCCCAGACGGCCUAACUCCCAAAACAGCCCUGUUCUGCUGCUGCCCUGUCUCCCAUCGGCUCAUUCCACAGAUCAAGAAUCCUGGGAAUGCUGGUAUUGGCCCCGGACACCAUCUUCCUAGAUGCAGCUGUCAGGACUUGGAGCCUCCAGCCGGCGGCGGGGUGAGAAGCAGGACUCUGAGGCCGGGGAGGGGCUGAGAACCCCAGGGUGAGUGAGGUGGCCUUACCUCCUGCCCCAGGGCUCCCACCCAGGCUGGAGCGCACGCUUCAUCCCUUCCUGUCUGUGUCCGGGCAUCCACCUUGGCUCCCGCUGGACAAAAGAGUUCCCGAGGGUCACAGUGCCCUCACCACCUUGUCCUCCUUUCCACUGUACGAACGUGCUAACCCCCUUUCCUCGCUGGUCUCGUGAUUUCAAUGACAAAUCAGGCUCGGGACAUGUAACGUCACACGGGACUGCUCCCUAGAAGACACUUCAUUCUCUCAGCUUCAGACUGAGCCGCAGCCGCCCCCGGGGGCCUCUGCUAGCAGCUCUUGUCAAGUGCUAGAACUUUGCUUCUUUGUGACUAGUGGACGGAGUCAGGCAGGAGGGCAGCUGCCUCCCUGCCUCUCUCCCUCACAGGGGCUGGGACCUGCACACUGGCUUGGGGCUCCCCAAGCCUGGACAGGCUCUUCCAGGCCCCUCCCAUCCUAUCAUAGGGAUGUGAGGGACCCGGACUCCAGCUAGGGUACAGGCUCACAGCAGUGGGUGCGCCCAGAGCCACUGCCCAGCCUGUCCCUCAGCAGCGCCCCUGUGCUCCAGCUGCCGCUGGGGACCUUUAGCGGGAGACCUGUGCUCUGACCACCCGAGGGAAAAGGGCGAACUCAGCACCACCCCUGGUGGGCGCAAAGUGGUUAAUCGCCCUGGGUGUUUGCCCCUCCCUAAAAGAACAGCUGGGAUUUCCUGUGGUACCUGGGGGGCCCCCAGCACAGAGUGCUUCUCAAGGGGGAGCAAAGGCUCCGGGAAAUUCUCCUGGGCCCCAGGGUUCCAGAGAGGCACGCAGUCCUGGGGCAGCCCCGCACUCACCCUCCACCCCGUGCUCUGGGCCCCACCUCCCUCCAGCCCCCCAACAAUCUGGCCUGCCUGGGCGUGGCCCACACAGCUCCCCAGCCUGCUGCCAACCCUCAAGCCUCCCCUGCCUCUAAGAAGCAGCACGGGAGUAGGAACCUGGUCCUCCCCACAUCCGUUGUCUCCCAUGGUCAUGGCUGCCCAUCGGCCCCAGCUCCUAGAUGGCUGGGACCUCAGCCAACUUUCUCCCCAACCAUCAAGUCCUGUCCCCUUCCCUCUCCUGCACGUCCCUUCCUCUACAUGGCGACGCCCAGCCCCGGGCAAGUCCUACCCUCCUCCCCACUCCCCUGCAGAGCCGCCUGCAGGUCUCCCUCUCAGCACUCGCCCCUGUGCCCUGGCUCAGGGUCUGAUUCUCAUUUCCCAACUGCUGAAGGCCCAGCGGCCAAGCUUGGCUGCAAAGCUGUCCACACCUGGGCUCCAGCCUGCCUUCCAGCCUUCGCCCCUUGGCUUCCUGCAGGCCCAGGCCCCUCUGCUCGUGCUCCCACCCCACCGCUUCUGCACGUCACAGGCACGGCCGACAUACCCAAGUUCAACUCUGUGGUCCCCGGGAAACAAAUGUGGAGGCAGGUAUAACUUAAAAGGCGUGGACUGCCCUCCCCACCAUGCCACUUAGCAACAGUGAACACACAAUGGGGAUGGGGUCCACCAUUCCCUCCUCCAGGCUCACUGCCGCUCACGGGGUUGUCUAGAGGGGAUGUGCGGGACUCUGGCAUUAAAAACGGGGCAUUUGGGGGCACAUGGUGGCUCAAGUGGGUUAAGUGUCCCACUUGAACUCAGGUCACGAUCUCGCGGUCUGUGAGUUGGAGCCCCGCGUCGGGUUCUGUGCUGAUAGCUCGCAACCUGGAGCCUGCUUCGGAUUCUGUGUCUCCCUCUCUCUCUGAACCUCCCCCGCUCUUGCUCUGUCUCUGUAUCUCAAGAAUAAACAUUAAAAUAAUCUUUUUAAAAAGGGGGCAUUUUUCGUGUAACAUAGCCCCUGAAGGCAAACCAACACCCUCACCUAGUGCUGAGAGACAGGGCCCUCAGUGCUGUGCUGGACCUCCCAAGAGGCAGAAAGUCUUCCUAAGGGGUUUUCCAGGCUAACUGUGUUCAGGACUUUCACCUCAGAACCUAAUUCCUGAGACGGGACCGCCCAGCAUACCCCUGCCCAGUCCUCCUCCGGCCCCCUCGCCUUGGGUGAAUUCCUCUCCCAUGGCCUCCCAGCAUCAUGCAGACAGUCGUGACCCAUGUUCCAGGCCCCACGCGGCCCCCUCGUGACCCAGAGGUUUACUCGCUCUGACUACACACCCACCCGGCCUACGGUUUCCCUCGCCUGGAGGUGAGCACCUGAGAGCGGGCCCUUCAUCUGUGGCCCCACCGUCCACGGUCGCGGCCGCGCGGGGUGUGAACACCCCGCUUGGCGACACAAAGUUGAGAUUGGCGCUCAGACUCACCCACCUAUGUGUGGGUCCAGAGGCACUUUUCCGAGGAGAGGGAUCUUCAGAUCCUGGCACAAGACCUCCGCGCCCCCCGUCGUUGGUGGGAAUAUCUGAGACUCUUUCUAUGAGGCAAGUUAAAAGGGAAGAGUUAGGACUUUGUUUUCAGAAUUAAAACUGGACAUUUUAAAGCAACUUUAAAAAAUGGCUGUUUGAAUAUGAAACAGUAACCACCCCAGCAGAGUUUUCCUUAAAUCAGCAGUAUUUUGUGUGUGUGUGAUCCCACUUCCCAAAAUGAGGGGGAAAGCAGAAACUGUGACACAGAAACCAUGUCCCGAGCUCUCCUCCACCACUACGAGGAAGGGCCUGGGCGGCCAGGCCUGGGCUGCCGCACUCCCACCUUGCACUUGGGGCAGACGAAGACACUCAUGUUCUCCACCACUCCGAUGAUGGGCAGCUUCACCUUGUGGCAGAAGCUGAUUUCUUUGCGGACGUCCUGGAGGGACACCUCCUGUCAAGGUUCAAAACACCAUUUAUUUCAAGAUCAAAGUGAAGACAGACCGUGUGCGGGCAGGGGCGGCAGUGCAGUGGAUUCGGCACCAGAAAGCCUCACAUUUAAUAAGUAUUUGGGGCCGACCAUGUGCUGACGCCUGUUCGGGGCAUGGACUCCCACAAACCCCGAAAGGAUAAACCUGAACAGCCAUAUGGUAAACGUACAAUGAAUGUGCAGAAUAAUAACCUUUUAAGACACCUCAGGGUUGUUUUCUCAGCAGUACACGACUGUGCACCAUUGUCUAGAUCAGGGGACAGUGGGCCCCAUCUGGCUGCCUGCCUGUUUUUAGAAACUUCUGGAUGCAGCCACGCCCAUUCCUUCACAUCUCAUCCCAGGCUGCUUUUGUCCUCCAGUGGUACAAGGGAGUAGCUGUGACAGGAUGUAGGAGACAUAAAGCCUAAAAUAUUUAUAUCUGGCCAUUUAAAAAAAAAAAAAAGGUUUGCUAACCUCUGAUCUCGACU